GGCAAAGAGGCAAUUGUAUCAGCAGAAAGCCCCCUGCUCUCAGUUCCAACAACAUCACCUAGUGCUAUAAGUUCCUCAUAAGAAAGCUCAUCAGGAUCAACGUCCUCCCAUGCAUCCUGGGAAUUAAUACCACGAUCCUCUUCAUCUUGCCUUUGUCCAACAUACAUUUCAUUUAUCCCAGCAAGGGCCAAUAAUCUAGCAGCCAUUUCUCUCUCUUCAGCAUCCUGUAGUGCUCUGGCAUAGGCCUCAUCACUAGAAAAAGCUGAUGGGUCUAACUCAACACCUUGGUUCUCAUCCUCACUUGCUUCAUCAUGAGCAUGCACAUCAAAUGCAUCUUCAUCAUCCUCACCCACAUCACUACCAUCAUCUUCUUCUUCGCUUGGAUCAUCAAAAUCUUCAUCCUCAUCCUCAUCAUGGCCAUAGUUCCCAGCAUCCCAGCUCCCAUAAUCAAUCCCAUCAUCGUUCAUACUAAGCAUCAUAUAAGCUCUUUCCUGGUCUUGCAAGGUGCGGGCAAGAGCAAGAUCAGCAUCGACCUGACUAAGGUCGGUGAAAGGAGUUCUUCGUGAAGCCCCGGGUUGAUGAAGAGCAGCAUCGGGUUCCCCAUUUGCAUUCACUUGCAGACUAGCAUCCCCAUCAGACCCAUUAGGGUUUCCAGGUUGGUGACUGUUGUCAUCAACCACUGUGGUUUUGGCUGCUUCAUUAUUAUAAUUAUUGUUGUUGUUACUUUCUGAAUUCUCCAUUUCUGGGCCAAC
rnacentral:misc_RNA from 1 species